rnacentral:rRNA from 1 species
UACGUAGGCAGCGAGCGUUGUUCGGAGUUACUGGGCGUAAAGAGUGCGUAGGCGGUUUUCUAAGUUUGGUGUGAAAUCUCCCGGCUUAACUGGGAGGGUGCGCCGAAAACUGGAAGGCUUGAGUAUGGGAGAGGUAAGCGGAAUUCCUGGUGUAACGGUGAAAUGCGUAGAUAUGUGGAGGAACACCUGUGGCGAAGGCGCCUUGCUGGCCAAUUUCUGACGCUGAGGCGCGAAAGCGUGGGGAGCAAACAGG